GAUGAACGCUGGCGGCGUGCCUAAUACAUGCAAGUCGAGCGAACGGACGAGAAGCUUGCUUCUCUGAUGUUAGCGGCGGACGGGUGAGUAACACGUGGAUAACCUACCUAUAAGACUGGGAUAACUUCGGGAAACCGUAGCUAAUACCGGAUAAUAUUUUGAACCGCAUGGUUCAAAAGUGAAAGACGGUCUUGCUGUCACUUAUAGAUGGAUCCGCGCUGCAUUAGCUAGUUGGUAAGGUAACGGCUUACCAAGGCAACGAUGCAUAGCCGACCUGAGAGGGUGAUCGGCCACACUGGAACUGAGACACGGUCCAGACUCCUACGGGAGGCAGCAGUAGGGAAUCUUCCGCAAUGGGCGAAAGCCUGACGGAGCAACGCCGCGUGAGUGAUGAAGGUCUUCGGAUCGUAAAACUCUGUUAUUAGGGAAGAACAUAUGUGUAAGUAACUGUGCACAUCUUGACGGUACCUAAUCAGAAAGCCACGGCUAACUACGUGCCAGCAGCCGCGGUAAUACGUAAGUGGCAAGCGUUAUCCGGAAUUAUUUGGCGUAAAGCGCGCGUAGGCGGUUUUUUAGUCUGAUGUGAAAGCCCACGGCUCAACCGUGGAGGGUCAUUGGAAACUGGAAAACUUGAGUGCAGAAGAGGAAAGUGGAAUUCCAUGUGUAGCGGUGAAAUGCGCAGAGAUAUGGAGGAACACCAGUGGCGAAGGCGACUUUCUGGUCUGUAACUGACGCUGAUGUGCGAAAGCGUGGGGAUCAAACAGGAUUAGAUACCCUGGUAGUCCACGCCGUAAACGAUGAGUGCUAAGUGUUAGGGGGUUUCCGCCCCUUAGUGCUGCAGCUAACGCAUUAAGCACUCCGCCUGGGGAGUACGACCGCAAGGUUGAAACCCAAAGGAAUUGACGGGGACCCGCACAAGCGGUGGAGCAUGUGGUUUAAUUCGAAGCAACGCGAAGAACCUUACCAAAUCUUGACAUCCUUUGACAACUCUAGAGAUAGAGCCUUCCCCUUCGGGGGACAAAGUGACAGGUGGUGCAUGGUUGUCGUCAGCUCGUGUCGUGAGAUGUUGGGUUAAGUCCCGCAACGAGCGCAACCCUUAAGCUUAGUUGCCAUCAUUAAGUUGGGCACUCUAAGUUGACUGCCGGUGACAAACCGGAGGAAGGUGGGGAUGACGUCAAAUCAUCAUGCCCCUUAUGAUUUGGGCUACACACGUGCUACAAUGGACAAUACAAAGGGCAGCGAAACCGCGAGGUCAAGCAAAUCCCAUAAAGUUGUUCUCAGUUCGGAUUGUAGUCUGCAACUCGACUACAUGAAGCUGGAAUCGCUAGUAAUCGUAGAUCAGCAUGCUACGGUGAAUACGUUCCCGGG
rnacentral:rRNA from 1 species